AGGUAACGGCUCACCAAGCCGACGAUCAGUAGCCGAUCUGAGAGGGUGACCGGCCACAUUGGGACUGAGACACGGCCCAAACUCCUACGGGAGGCAGCAGUGGGGGAUAUUGCACAAUGGGCGAAAGCCUGAUGCAGCGACGCCGCGUGAGGGAAGACGGUCUUCGGAUUGUAAACUCCUGUCGUUAGGGACGAUAAUGACGGUACCUAACAAGAAAGCACCGGCUAACUAC
rnacentral:rRNA from 1 species